GAAAAAUUAGAUAAAGCUAUGAAUAAUUAUGUUAGAGAUUAUAUUGAGGGACUAGGGUUACAUGUUGUGUUCACUGAAUCAUUUACAAUGAACAUAAACAUUUAUAAUCACAAAAAAGGUAUUUCUGAAAAUCAGUAUCUGUUACAAUCAUUCAAAUGCAAUGUCAUUUAUUUAUAUUGCAUUAUUUAGUCUAUUGUUUUCUCAUUUUUUAAAAAAAAUAGCAAUUAAAGCAAAGAGGAAAUCUUUAUGGUUAAUAUUUAAAAUUUUAUCUUUAGAAAUAAAAAAGUGGUUCAUCAUACAUAAAAGAAAAAACAAAUUUAAUCUGUAAGAGUACAUUAUCUUUAAUUUUCUUAAGUCAAAAACAGUUUACAUAUUAGCAUCAGUGUAAACAUCCUCUCUGACGUCGCAAUGUUAAGACUUCUGUUGCCUUGGUGCCAUCUCAUUCUGACCCUGGGCUCAUUGGCCCUUACACUUUAAUCUGAACAAUGGAACCAGAGACAUCAGCACUGUCCAGGCUCUCUGAUGAUCUUCAUCCUUCGCCAGUGGCAAUUCAUGAAAUAAAUACAGAGUUUUCUGAGGAAAGUAUAAUAUACUCAGACCUCAAAGUUCGUUGUUCUUCAAAUACCCAGAACGUAAAAAUAACUAAAACUUCGAAAACAAAAGUUCAUUGUCUUGAGGAGAUCCUGCAUGAGACAACCAUUGAGACUGCACAUUGCAACAUAAUAUCACAAAGCAAAGGUUGACAGCCUAAUGCACCAGGAUAGAAAUAAAGACAGAGAUCAGGACAGAAGUUGAAUUCCUAGGAAAUCUGAGCAGGACGGACAAGGUAUGUACAAUAAGUGAUCCUGCCAGUUGGUCUUCGAGAAAACAAAAGGACUACUAUACUCCUCACUUUGUUAGAGCUGAAAACCAUAAAGCUAGAGUGAUGGCAGCUCCUGUGAACUCCGAUGAAACCACAAAGGAAGUCAUUGGGUCAAGAAAUGCAUUACGAGCCACCGUGAGGCACGACCACCCUUCUGCUUUGCAGAGUUCAGAGUAAGAGUCCCUUCCUGUGUGAAAGGCACUGACUGCUACAGCCUCCAGGACACCUUCUCACUGCAUAUGUGUGAUAAAUGUGAGAUUCAUUAUUUUGUUCUUUGUAGAAAAUUAAGUAUGAAAUAAUUUCUUACUUUUUUGUCAAGUGUUUUCCAGGUUGCUUCUCAAUAAAUUCUUUUUUAAAAAAUUGACGAUUUCCCCAAGAGUUUCUCCACUGGUUGCAAACCACGUCUUUAAUUUUCUUGGAAGCAUUUUGAUAUUAUGAUUAAGGACACAAGUUUGAUACCAGAUAAGGCAACAUAUUAGUUUGAGUUGUGUCACUUAUUAUAUUUAUAACUUUAGUCCAGUUGAAUUCCCUAAUCUACUUUUUCCACAUCUGUAAAAUGAAGGGGAUAAAAGUAUCCUCAUCACAAGGUUUUUCUAGGGAUUGAAUGAGAAAACAUUGUCAACUGUUGUUAUUGUUUCUUGUGUCUUCUUUGUUUGCAAUUUAAUACUCAUUCUCCUUUGGUGCAGUUUUGUGAUUUCUUUUUCUUUCAUGAAAUACUUUAUUUAUA
rnacentral:lncRNA from 1 species